rnacentral:lncRNA from 1 species
AAAUAAAACAAACGAAAUAAUUCAAUAGUUUUAUUUAAAAAAAUAAAUAAGAAGAAAUAGGACUGCAUUCCAACAAUCACAUUUCAUAGAACUCCUUCUCUCAGAUCAACAUGUACAACGUUACAUAGACACUGUACAUAGAUCUAUACAGGUGUCUAACUAGGUAUACAGACACUGUACAUAGAUCUAUACAGGUGUCUAACUAGGUACACAGACACUGGACAUAGAUCUAUACAUGUGUCUAACUAGGUACACAGACACUGGACAGAUCUAUACAGGUGUCUAACUAGGUACACAGACACUGUACAUAGAUCUAUACAGGUGUCUAACUAGGUAUACAGACACUGGACAUAGAUCUAUACAGGUGUCUAACUAGGUACACAGACACUGGACAUAGAUCUAUACAUGUGUCUAACUAGGUACACAGACACUGUACAUAGAUCUAUACAGGUGUCUAACUAGGUAUACAGACACUGGACAUAGAUCUAUACAGGUGUCUAACUAGGUACACAGACACUGGACAUAGAUCUAUACAUGUGUCUAACUAGGUAUACAGACACUGUACAUAGAUCUAUACAGGUGUCUAACUAGGUAUACAGACACUGGACAUAGAUCUAUACAGGUGUCUAACUAGGUACACAGACACUGUACAUAGAUCUAUACAGGUGUCUAACUAGGUAUACAGACACUGGACAUAGAUCUAUACAGGUGUCUAACUAGGUACACAGACACUGUACAUAGAUCUAUACAGGUGUCUAACUAGGUAUACAGACACUGGACAUAGAUCUAUACAGGUGUCUAACUAGGUACACAGACACUGUACAUAGAUCUAUACAGGUGUCUAACUAGGUAUACAGACACUGGACAUAGAUCUAUACAGGUGUCUAACUAGGUACACAGACACUGUACAUAGAUCUAUACAGGUGUCUAACUAGGUAUACAGACACUGGACAUAGAUCUAUACAGGUGUCUAACUAGGUACACAGACACUGUACAUAGAUCUAUACAGGUGUCUAACUAGGUAUACAGACACUGGACAUAGAUCUAUACAGGUGUCUAACUAGGUACACAGACACUGUACAUAGAUCUAUACAGGUGUCUAACUAGGUAUACAGACACUGGACAUAGAUCUAUACAGGUGUCUAACUAGGUACACAGACACUGUACAUAGAUCUAUACAGGUGUCUAACUAGGUAUACAGACACUGGACAUAGAUCUAUACAGGUGUCUAACUAGGUACACAGACACUGUACAUAGAUCUAUACAGGUGUCUAACUAGGUAUACAGACACUGGACAUAGAUCUAUACAGGUGUCUAACUAGGUACACAGACACUGGACAUAGAUCUAUACAUGUGUCUAACUAGGUACACAGACACUGUACAUAGAUCUAUACAGGUGUCUAACUAGGUACACAGACACUGGACAUAGAUCUAUACAUGUGUCUAACUAGGUACACAGACACUGUACAUAGAUCUAUACAGGUGUCUAACUAGGUAUACAGACACUGGACAUAGAUCAUUCAAACAAUGGCUGUGUCGAUAAACAAUUUGAUAGCUUAAUUAAUGGUGCUGAAGAUAAUGAAAUUGGUGAUACAUGUAUUAAGAGCGGUCAGUGCAACAUUAAAAGUAAUCUAAGUAUUUAUAAAGGUUAACCUGGUGUGUAAUCGUCACAUUGAAAAUCUCCUCCUUUGGCUUCCAAUCCCACAACAUGUUAACACACGUACAACAAUUUAAAAAUUCUAAAAUUCCAUACAAGUUAAAACUGAACAAUUUGUAAAUCACCUAUAUCUGUAUUUUUUCAGCAGAAAAACUUUAAAUUUUAAUUGAAGUGUAGAGUAAGUAUAGGUGUUUGUCAUCCACUUGACAAUAAAUAUAGCUCUUUGUGAAAUAAAAAAAAAACAAAAAAAA